GAUUGAACGCUGGCGGCAUGCCUUACACAUGCAAGUCGAGCGCGAAAGGGGGGCAACCCCGAGUAGAGCGGCGGACGGGUGAGUAACGCAUCGGAACGUGCCCAGUAGUGGGGGACAACCUCGAGAAAUCGAGGCUAAUACCGCAUACGACCCACGGGUGAAAGCGGGGGACCGCAAGGCCUCGCGCUAUUGGAGCGGCCGAUGUCCGAUUAGCUAGUUGGCGGGGUAAGAGCCCACCAAGGCGACGAUCGGUAGCUGGUCUGAGAGGACGACCAGCCACACUGGGACUGAGACACGGCCCAGACUCCUACGGGAGGCAGCAGGU
rnacentral:rRNA from 1 species